rnacentral:rRNA from 1 species
GACGAACGCUGGCGGCGUGCUUAACACAUGCAAGUCGAACGGAAAGGCCCUGCUUUUGUGGGGUGCUCGAGUGGCGAACGGGUGAGUAACACGUGAGUAACCUGACCUUGACUUUGGGAUAACUUAAGGAAACUGGGGCUAAUACCGGAUAGGAGCUCCUGCUGCAUGGUGGGGGUUGGAAAGUUUCGGCGGUUGGGGAUGGACUCGCGGCUUAUCAGCUUGUUGGUGGGGUAGUGGCUUACCAAGGCUUUGACGGGUAGCCGGCCUGAGAGGGUGACCGGCCACAUUGGGACUGAGAUACGGCCCAGACUCCUACGGGAGGCAGCAGUGGGGAAUAUUGCACUAUGGGCGGAAGCCUGAUGCAGCAGCGCCGCGUGCGGGAUGACGGCCUUCGGGUUGUAAACCGCGUUCGCCUGUGACGAAGCGUGAGUGACGGUAAUGGGUAAAGAAGCACCGGCUAACUACGUG